CUACGGGGUGCUGCAGCGGGGAAUAUUGGACAAUGGGCGCAAGCCUGAUCCAGCAAUGCCGCGUGAGUGAAGACGGCCUUAGGGUUGUAAAACUCUUUCGCUAGGGAAGAUAAUGACUGUACCUAGUAAAGAAGUCCCGGCUAACUCCGUGCCAGCAGCCGCGGUAAUACGGAGGGGACUAGCGUUGUUCGGAAUUACUGGGCGUAAAGAGUUCGUAGGCGGACUGACAAGUUAGAGGUGAAAUCCCAGGGCUCAACCCUGGAACUGCCUUUAAAACUGUCAGUCUAGAGACCGGAAGAGGUUAGGGGAAUACCUAGUGUAGAGGUGAAAUUCGUAGAUAUUAGGUGGAACACCAGUGGCGAAGGCGCCUAACUGGUCCGGUACUGACGCUGAGGAACGAAAGCGUGGGGAGCAAACAGGAUUAGAUACCCUUGUAGUC
rnacentral:rRNA from 1 species